GUCAACAUUUCUGUGCCUAGGCAUAGGCUGUUGUUUUUCUUUUUAUAACCUAUGCUAAUAUAAAGAGGCAUGAUACAUUGACUUUGACCUGCUAGGCUGAAGCCAUUACUGUCUGCCAGAUCAGUGCUCUAUAAACUCAAGAUUCUCUGUGCAAGCCUUGACCCAAUAAGCUAAAAUGUCUUGGUCUGUGUUGUUGCUGAAGAGUGUAGUCUGGAUGAAGAAGGUAUACAAAAACAAAUGUGGAAAAAUAUGAGGAAAGAAGACUGCUGUCUGAAAGGAAAGAGAGCAAGAGAGAUUUACUGAUAAUUUAGAUCCUACUCACUAUUCUUCAAAAUUUUUUGGACUCAACAGUUCAUUUUAAAUGCUUUUGUUGUAAUCUUUGUGAAACAGUGAAUGGGCAGGGAUUUUAAUUUUUCUCUAAAAAUAAAACAUUUUAAAAU
ensembl:lncRNA